AGAUAUUACGAAGAACAUCAGUGGCGAAGGCGGCCGGCUGGGUCAGUAUUGACGCUCAGGCACGAGAGCGUGGGGAGCGAACAGGAUUAGAUACCCUGGUAGUCCACGCUGUAAACGAUGUAUGCUAGUUGUUGGGCUUUCGGGCUCAGUGACGCAGUUAACGCAGUAAGCAUACCACCUGGGGAGUACGUUCGCAAGAAUGAAACUCAAAGGAAUUGACGGGGGCCCGCACAAGCGGUGGAGCAUGUGGCUUAAUUCGAUGCAACGCGAAGAACCUUACCCGGGCUAAAUCCGACCUGCUACCUCCCGAAACGGAGGGUCCCUUCGGGGCGGGUUGGAAGGUGCUGCAUGGCUGUCGUCAGCUCGUGCCGUGAGGUGUUGCCUUAAGUGGCGCAACGAGCGCAACCCCUGUGGUCAGUUACCAGCACGUAAUGGUGGGGACUCUGGCCAGACUGCCUACGCAAGUAGUGAGGAAGGUGGGGACGACGUCAAGUCAUCAUGGCCCUUAUGUCCGGGGCUGCACACGUGCUACAAUGGAUGGUACAGAGGGAAGCUACCCAGCGAUGGGAUGCAGAUCUCGAAAGCCAUUCUCAGUUCGGAUUGGAGUCUGCAACUCGACUCCAUGAAGGUGGAAUCGCUAGUAAUCGCGUAUCAGCAACGACGCGGUGAAUACGUUCCCGGGCCUUGUACACACCGCCCGUCAAGCGAUGGAAGUCAGGAGUACCUGAUGUCGCCGUGCUAACCUUCGGGAAGCAGGUGCCUAGGGUAAGCCUGGUAACUGGCGCUAAGUCGUAACAAGGUAGCCGUAGA
rnacentral:rRNA from 1 species